GACGAACGCUGGCGGCGUGCUUAACACAUGCAAGUCGAACGGAAAGGCCCUGCUUUUGUAGGGUGCUCGAGUGGCGAACGGGUGAGUAACACGUGAGUAACCUGCCCUUGACUUUGGGAUAACUUCAGGAAACUGGGGCUAAUACCGGAUAGGAGCUCCUGCUGCAUGGUGGGGGUUGGAAAGUUUCGGCGGUUGGGGAUGGACUCGCGGCUUAUCAGCUUGUUGGUGGGGUAGUGGCUUACCAAGGCUUUGACGGGUAGCCGGCCUGAGAGGGUGUCCGGCCACAUUGGGACUGAGAUACGGCCCAGACUCCUACGGGAGGCAGCAGUGGGGAAUAUUGCACAAUGGGCGGAAGCCUGAUGCAGCAACGCCGCGUGCGGGAUGACGGCCUUCGGGUUGUAAACCGCUUUCGCCUGUGACGAAGCGUGAGUGACGGUAAUGGGUAAAGAAGCACCGGCUAACUACGUG
rnacentral:rRNA from 1 species